rnacentral:rRNA from 1 species
GAUACGUAGUGUGAAUUGCAGAAUUCCGUGAACCAUCGAAUCUUUGAACGCAUAUUGCGCUCAACCCUUCGGGGAAGAGCAUGUCUGCCUCAGCGUCGGUUUAC